GUAAGGCAGACGGCAAGCCAAGGAAGCCGGCCACCGAGGCUCGGGCGCUGUGGGUCUGCCUGUCUGUCUGUGUGUCUCACUGUCUGUCUGUACCUCACAGCUCCUGAGAAGCCUGCUGCAGCCGCCAGCGUGGAGGAUGGUCCUCAUCUGCACACCCCCCUUCCCCAAAGACACUGAGGGAUGGAUCCCCGACUUUGGACUGUGAGAUCCUUUCCUCCAGGACUCUCCAGAGGCAGGUCCCUGGCCAACCAACAACAAAAGUCCGAGAUUCAGCAACCCAAACAGCACGGCCACAUCAGCCAAUGUCCCCGAUUAGUAUAUAAAGAAGAGGAAGAAGAAGAAAAGAAGGCUCCCAUUCUGAGUGGAGCCAAGCUUUGUGUCCAUGCCUCCUCCCUCAAGAUGAUCUCCAGA
rnacentral:lncRNA from 1 species